AGCCCUAGGGACUAAUAUAGGGUGAAGCCUGCUCAAUGACGAAAAUUAGUUAAAUAGCCGCGGUACUUUGACCGUGCUAAGGUAGCAUAAUCAGUUGGCUUUUGAAUGAAGUCUGGAAUGAAAGGAAGAACGGGGUUAGACUGUUUCAUUUUUUUUAUCACGAAUUUACUAAUUAGGUGAAAAGGCCUAAAAUAGAUAAAAGACGAGAAGACCCUAAGAGUUUUUAAUUUCAUUUUUGUUGGGGCGACAAAGAAUCACGUAAACAUUCUUUCUUUAUAGGACGGAAUUUUCAUGAAAAGAUAAACUACCUUAGGGAUAACAGCAUUAUCUAAUUUUAGGAUUGUGACCUCGAUGUUGGACUAGGAAGCCUAUAAGCUAGCCGCUUAUAAGGGGGAUUC
rnacentral:rRNA from 1 species